ACCUGGUUAGCACAAUGGUAGUGCAUCGGUCUCCAAAACCGUUGAUCGGGGUUCGAUUCCCCGGCCAGGUGCCA
rnacentral:tRNA from 1 species